rfam:Ovis aries breed Texel chromosome 8, whole genome shotgun sequence.
UCCUGUGUAGCUCAGUCAGUAAAGCAUCUGCCUGCAAUGCAGGAGACCUGGGUUCAUUUCCUGGGUCGGAAA